rnacentral:rRNA from 1 species
AGAGUUUGAUCCUGGCUCAGAUUGAACGCUGGCGGCAUGCUUUACACAUGCAAGUCGAACGGCAGCGCGGGGGCAACCCUGGCGGCGAGUGGCGAACGGGUGAGUAAUGUAUCGGAACGUAUCCUGUAAUGGGGGAUAACCAGUCGAAAGAUUGGGUAAUACCGCAUACGCACGAGAGUGGAAAGUAGGGGAUCGCAAGACCUUACGUUAUAGGAGCGGCCGAUAUCUGAUUAGCUAGUUGGUGGGGUAAAGGCCUACCAAGGCGACGAUCAGUAGCUGGUCUGGGAGGACGACCAGCCACACUGGGACUGAGACACGGCCCAGACUCCUACGGGAGGCAGCAGUGGGGAAUUUUGGACAAUGGGCGAAAGCCUGAUCCAGCCAUGCCGCGUGCAGGAAGAAGGCCUUCGGGUUGUAAACUGCUUUAGUCUAGGAAAAAGGGGUGCGAGGUUAAUACCCUCGUGCUUUGAUGGUACUGGAAGAAUAAGCACCGGCUAACUACGUGCCAGCAGCCGCGGUAAUACGUAGGGUGCGAGCGUUAAUCGGAAUUACUGGGCGUAAAGCGUGCGCAGGCGGUCUUGUAAGACAGUCGUGAAAUCCCUGGGCUUAACCUAGGAACUGCGAUUGUGA